rnacentral:rRNA from 1 species
AGGGCACCACCAGGAGUGGAGCCUGCGGCUUAAUUUGACUCAACACGGGGAAACUUACCCGGCCUGGACACUGGAAGGAUUGACAGAUUGAGGGCUCUUUCUUGAUUCAGUGGGUGGUGGUGCAUGGCCGUUCUUAGUUGGUGGAGCGAUUUGUCUGGUUAAUUCCGAUAACGAACGAGACUCUAGCCUAUUAAAUAGGCUCUCGGCUUUUAAACGCCGGGAGGACUUCUUAGAGGGACAGGUGGCGGUUCAGCCGCACGAAAGAGAGCAAUAACAGGUCUGUGAUGCCCUUUGUUGUCCGGGGCCGCACGCGCGCUACACUGAAGAGAUCAGCGUGCUUUACGUUCCUGCUCCGACCGGAGUGGGGAACCCAGUGAACCUUCUUCGUGAUUGGGAUAGAAGAUUGUAAUUAUUCUUCUUGAACGAGGAAUUCCCAGUAAAUGCGAGUCAUAAGCCCGCGUUGAUUACGUCCCUGCCCUUUGUACACACCGCCCGUCGCUACUACCGAUUGAACGAUUU